UCUAAUAUGGCAGACAAGUGCAAUGGAUUUAAGCUCCAUAUAUAAAGAUUUCCCCUUUUGUUAGAA
rnacentral:tRNA from 1 species